AAAAUUGUUUUCUUAUUAUAUCAGAAAUCAGUGUAGUAUUAUAUUUAAGGAGGCUUGCUAAUUAAGUCCAACAAAAAUAUAAAACUAUAAAAUAUAAAAGCCACAACUGAGGAUUGAGGAUUCGAUUGAAACAAAACACAUGACAGUAAAUGUAGAUUGUAAAAUACAAAAAAUAUUUGUUACACUUACAUCAGGUUAAAUAUGAAAUUUAUUAAAAUAAUAAAAAUUAUUUGAACUUUUUUAUUAAAACUUAUUUUUAUAUGUAUUGUUUUUUUUUUCAAUCACAACUUACAAGCAGAUAUUCUUUGUUUAGCAUCCCUAAAAUAAUAGGUGGCGUUCUGAAUCUAUAACGGCAAAUUAUUAUCUUCCGGAACACUGUAUGAUUGAUAAUUUAGUUUUGUGCUUUUGAAAAUAAUUUAAGUUUUAUCAAAUGGCUACUAAAAUCAAAAUAAAAAUGAAAGUGAUGUUCGACCUACAAAAAAGAAAAAGCAUUACCUACGUCAGUAUGUUACACAUUUGCAUUAUGAAUUUGUGCUAUAUAUCAUUAAUUAAUCAAGGCCGUUUUUUCUUGUGCGUAAUUUCGUGUUGUCAAAUGAGGUUUGAAACCUUCAAGAUUGAAAGAAUACUUGCUAAAAAAACACCCACAUUAGGUCAACUGGAUAUUUGUUGCAUUCUAGAAAAUGAAUGACAGUUUUAAAAAGCAUAUGACUGCCAAUUCUUCUCAAAAAGCAAACAAUGUUUUUGAAAUGGUCUCAUUGUAUCUUACAAUGUUUCUAAGUUAAUAGCAAAAUAUAGUGAGGCACAUAGAAUUGGUGAGCAGUUGAUUUUACCUGCAUAGUCUAAAAUAAUGUCAACUGUAUUACAAAUGGAUACUACUAACUUAAAAUCAAUUUCUCUUAGCAAUAACACUGUGUCUCAUUGCAUUACGACUACAGUUCUAGUUUGGUUAUAUGUAUGGUAAACAAGUUAAAAGCUUGUGCACUGAAUACAAGGCUGUUCAGACAGUUAUAAUAUGAAAAGGAUAAACAUUUUGAAAGGUUGCUUUUGCAUACAUAGGUUUGCUGUCUAAGCAAGGAGCAAUAACACUAGCUGUCUAAAGCAAUAGCACUACGCUUUGGUGACAGUGAAUUACAAAUUAAUUGCACAAAUUUAGACACACUCAAGAAAGACUUUGAAUGCAGAUUUGAAGAUUUAGUAGAGUUGGUAACUCCAGAAUUGGGUUCAAUCUUCAUUUCUUUGUUCAGCAGAAGAGCAAGAGUUAAAGUCGCAAGAAGAUUUAAUUGAAAUACAGAAUAAUUAAGAAUUUAAAAUGAUUUUCUAGAAGAUGAAGUUAAGUAGUUUUUAGAUUGAGGUUGCUAAAAAAUACCUGAAAAAUUGUUAAAAAAUUGGCCGAAGAUGGUAAAAUAAGAAUCAUAAAUUUAGAGGUUGAUAAAACUGCAACACCUCCUACAUCUGUUUUACUCUAUUGUGCACAUAAUAUUACAGAAGAAUCUAAAGAGUUUAUUGAUGCUUCCGAAACAUUAU